AACGAACGCUGGCGGCAGGCCUAACACAUGCAAGUCGAGCGAGGACUUCGGUCCUAGCGGCGGACGGGUGAGUAACGCGUGGGAACGUGCCCUUUGCUUCGGAAUAGCCCUGGGAAACUGGGAGUAAUACCGGAUGAGCCCUUUGGGGGAAAGAUUUAUCGGCGAAGGAUCGGCCCGCGUUGGAUUAGGUAGUUGGUGGGGUAAUGGCCUACCAAGCCGACGAUCCAUAGCUGGGUUGAGAGGAUGAGCAGCCACACUGGGACUGAGACACGGCCCAGACUCCUACGGGAGGCAGCAGUGGGGAAUCUUAGACAAUGGGGGAAACCCUGAUCGAGCCAUGCCGGGUGAGCGAUGAAGGCCUUAGGGUUGUAAAGCUCUUUCAGCUGGGAAGAUAAUGACGGUACCAGCAGAAGAAGCCCCGGCUAACUCCGUG
rnacentral:rRNA from 1 species